rnacentral:ncRNA from 12 species
AUCGUUAGAGGUGGUAAAUUUCGUUGCAACCACGCACCCUAUAGGUUAAAAGAGAUGCAAGAGAUGCAAGAGAUGUGACGCUUGCCUAACGGU